AUGAACGCUGGCGGCGUGCCUAAUACAUGCAAGUCGAGCGAACGGACGAGAAGCUUGCUUCUCUGAUGUUAGCGGCGGACGGGUGAGUAACACGUGGAUAACCUACCUAUAAGACUGGGAUAACUUCGGGAAACCGGAGCUAAUACCGGAUAAUAUUUUGAACCGCAUGGUUCAAAAGUGAAAGACGGUCUUGCUGUCACUUAUAGAUGGAUCCGCUCUGCAUUAGCUAGUUGGUAAGGUAACGGCUUACCAAGGCAACGAUGCAUAGCCGACCUGAGAGGGUGAUCGGCCACACUGGAACUGAGACACGGUCCAGACUCCUACGGGAGGCAGCAGUAGGGAAUCUUCCGCAAUGGGCGAAAGCCUGACGGAGCAACGCCGCGUGAGUGAUGAAGGUCUUCGGAUCGUAAAACUCUGUUAUUAGGGAAGAACAUAUGUGUAAGUAACUGUGCACAUCUUGACGGUACCUAAUCAGAAAGCCACGGCUAACUACGUG
rnacentral:rRNA from 1 species